GGGGUUAGAUGGAAAAUGAAAGGGGAGGCUUUCUGCUUUCCCCCGACCGCUGGAAGCUGGACUUGAAUGCCCGCAGCUGGCCGAGCUUCGUGAGUUGGCCGAGCGAGUACUUUCGUCCGAGGGUCCAGCUGAUGGUACAGAUGAGCGUGUAAACAGAUGUUGACUCAGAUACACCAAGACGGCAUCAUGGAGUGCAGACUUGAUUGCUCUGUCCUUUCACUGACCACCGGACAGCUUAGCAUGGCAGCCUGUGCCCUGACAAGAUGGUUCUAUUUCACUUCCUAGGCAGAUGGAUAAAUGGGUUUCCUGUCCCAUGCCUUGGAUCUGACUGACUUGGACCUUUGAACAUCAGAGGAACUGUUGCUCUCUGGUUUUCAAUUAGGUGGAAAUAUUUAUGUUCUAAACCAGACUUAAGUUUGGGAGAAUCCAGCCAUGCUUAUGGAUUGCUGCAGAAGUGAAUUUUAACAUCUCCUUAUUUGGGAGGGACUAUAUUUUUGUUUCUGUCAGAACUAGACCUAAUAAACUUGUGUUUGUUUCUCUGCUCUAAGGCA
rnacentral:lncRNA from 1 species